rnacentral:rRNA from 1 species
UACGUAGGGUGCGAGCGUUAAUCGGAAUUACUGGGCGUAAAGCGUGCGCAGGCGGUUUUGCAAGCCGGAUGUGAAAUCCCCGGGCUCAACCUGGGAAUGGCAUUUGGGACUGCAAGGCUCGAGUGCGGCAGAGGAGACUGGAAUUCCUGGUGUAGCAGUGAAAUGCGCAGAUAUCAGGAGGAACACCGAUGGCGAAGGCAGAUCUCUGGGCCGUAACUGACGCUGAGGAGCGAAAGCAUGGGGAGCGAACAGG